rnacentral:lncRNA from 1 species
GUGAAUCAAUUCCCUUUUCGAUCUUGUUUGUUGAAUGUUAAGGCUUUUCAUUGACUUAUUGUUUCCUCGGGAUUGAAUUUCUUUUUGGUUCUCUGAGAUAUUUUGGGAGCGAAAGUUUAAUGCUUUAUUGGUGUCUGGAUGUGUGCAAUUGGGGUUUAAUCUUAUAUUUUUUUUUUGAAUGUUGCUUUAGGUCAUGGCUGGGAAGCGAGUUAUAGCCAUAUGCCAGUCAGGUGGUGAAUUUGAGACUGAUAAAGAUGGUUUCCUUUUGUAUAAAGGCGGAGAUGCUCAUGCUAUGGAAAUGGAUGACAAAAUGAACUACAAUGAUUUCAAGAUGGAGGUAGCUGAGAUGUUCAACUUCAGCCUUGCUACCAUGUCAGUUAAAUAUUUUCUUCCUGGAAACAGGAAGACACUUAUAACAAUCUCCAAUGACAAAGAUCUUAAGCGCAUGAUCAAAUUCCAUGGUGACUCUGAUUCUGUUGAGAUCUAUGUGAUGACUGAAGAAGCUGUUGAUCCUGAUUUGUCAAACAUGCCUGGCAGUAGGUAGAUUCCUUGCUGCUGCCUGAGAUCUAUGUGAUGACUGAAGAAGCUAUUGAUCCUGAUUUCUCAAACAUGCCUGGCAGUAGGU